rnacentral:rRNA from 1 species
GAUGAACGCUGGCGGCGUGCCUAAUACAUGCAAGUCGAGCGAACGGACGAGAAGCUUGCUUCUCUGAUGUUAGCGGCGGACGGGUGAGUAACACGUGGAUAACCUACCUAUAAGACUGGGAUAACUUCGGGAAACCGGAGCUAAUACCGGAUGAUAUUUUGAACCGCAUGGUUCAAAAGUGAAAGACGGUCUUGCUGUCACUUAUAGAUGGAUCCGCGCUGCAUUAGCUAGUUGGUAAGGUAACGGCUUACCAAGGCAACGAUGCAUAGCCGACCUGAGAGGGUGAUCGGCCACACUAGAACUGAGACACGGUCCAGACUCCUACGGGAGGCAGCAGUAGGGAAUCUUCCGCAAUGGGCGAAAGCCUGACGGAGCAACGCCGAGUGAGUGAUGAAGGUCUUCGGAUCGUAAAACUCUGUUAUUAGGGAAGAACAUAUGUGUAAGUAACUGUGCACAUCUUGACGGUACCUAAUCAGAAAGCCACGGCUAACUACGUG